rnacentral:rRNA from 1 species
UGGGGAAUAUUGCACAAUGGGCGAAAGCCUGAUGCAGCAACGCCGCGUGAGUGAUGAAGGCCUUCGGGUUGUAAAGCUCUGUCUUUUGGGACGAUAAUGACGGUACCAAAGGAGGAAGCCACGGCUAACUACGUGCCAGCAGCCGCGGUAAUACGUGGGUGGCAAGCGUUGUCCGGAUUUACUGGGCGUAAAGGAUGCGUAGGCGGAUUUUUAAGUGAGAUGUGAAAUACCCGGGCUUAACUUGGGUGCUGCAUUUCAAACUGGGAAUCUAGAGUGCGGGAGAGGAGAAUGGAAUUCCUAGUGUAGCGGUGAAAUGCGUAGAGAUUAGGAAGAACACCAGUGGCGAAGGCGAUUCUCUGGACCGUAACUGACGCUGAGGCAUGAAAGCGUGGGUAGCAAACAGGAUUAGAUACCCUGGUAGUCCACGCCGUAAACGAUGAGUACUAGGUGUAGGAGGUAUCGACCCCUUCUGUGCCGCAGUUAACACAAUAAGUACUCCGCCUGGGAAGUACGAUCGCAAGAUUAAAACUCAAAGGAAUUGAC